AUCUCCCGUCAAAUAUUAUUAAUUAUGUAAUAAUAUUUUACACUAAGGUUACUAACCUUUUAAUAACAUUCCAGUCACAUACUACUAAUAAUAUCUCAAUACCAUAUUAUUAGUCACAUAAAAAUAAUUUAUGUCAUUAAUCACUUAAAUAAACAAUUAUUUCCAUUGUUUUCCUUCCCGAAUUAAUAAACUUGUUUAAACAUUUUAAAAUGUCAUAAACAUCACAACACCUUAAACCCGACCCAAAACUUCAUCACAAACUUGCAUACGCCAUGCUCACGGGUCUCAC
rnacentral:lncRNA from 1 species